AUAUGCUGUGAAUGAAUAUAAAUUAUACAUGAAAGCUGUGAGAUUAAAGAUUCAAUGAAAUAGUUCAAACAAACGCUUAGCAUUACGCUCAAGUCACUCUCAAGGUAUAAUAAGGAUAAUAAUGUUAAUAUUAAUUUUCAUCUUACCUUGCUUUUAAUAACAUUUAAUAACCUUUCCUUUUGACAUGUUAUCAAUUUAAUAUCACAAUUGUACUUCAAUAAAAAAAACUCCCCAUCAAUUUAACCUUUCAAACAAAAACAGUAAACAUUAUUUAAAAACAGUUCAAUGUUUAAACAUUUAAAUUGUUUGCAAGUUUAAUUUACAUUUGUGUUAAUUUGUUGGCAGUUUCAUUGGUUUACACUUGAAUUGUCAUUUAUUCAUCAUCUUGCAUUAUCAAUCAAUUGGUCAGUCAAUCCUCUCAAUCAGCUUAAAUCUUGUUUUAACAUUUUGUUUCAAUUUUACUUUCCAUCAAUUGUAAUAAAUGUACUUCUCAUUUUUACAUUUGUAUUCAAAAGCAGUUUCAGUUGAAAUUGUCUUUUCCUUUUCAAUCAUUUCAAUUGGAUUUAUUGUUCAUCAGCUUAUUACCAUGAUUAAAGAGAUUAUUUGAGGAAAUUUAAUUCAAAUUUUUGUUCCAUUUUUCAUGUAUUUUGUCACUUUUUUAAACUCAAGUCUCCACUGUUGCUCUGUAUUUUAACGUCUUUCAAUGGCAAUUGUUGCUCACAUCGUUUUUAUCAUCGGAUUAUCCGAAAUUUUUCGACCAAAUUUAGCGGCCUUACAUUUUCUAACCAUUAUUUGGGUCACUGUCGUCUUCAGGUCAAGUCUUUCACUUUCAACUGUCAUUUGUCCAUCUUCAUGUCAUUCCUUCCUUUGCUUCCCUUGCGGAUGUUUAUCAUUGAAUGUAACAUUAAACCAUAAAACUGUUUUCACCUUUCAUCAAUUAUUGCAUUUGCCGUCAUUUAAUUGUUUAACACUCAAUGCAAUAAAAUGCUUUAUCAUAUUGAUUUAUACACAACUGAUGUACUGAUCCAAGAUGAUGAUUGAGGUUACCAAAUGUAAAGAUUGUCAGUUUAGUUUGUAUGCAAUGUCAAUUGCUCUUGAAACAAAAGAGACUCUCUUAGUUGACAUUUUGAUCUCACUUUACAUUAAAGUUAAUUAUCAUUCAACUUUACUUCAUAUCUAAAUAUGAAAAUGAAUUUUGCUUCAGCUUUUUUGCUUCUUCUGUUUUCUGGGCAAAAAUCACUUUAUUCAAUCUUUUUACAUGACAAAAAGUACCAUUUUGUAUCCUCUUUUCAUAGCUUUCAUGUUGAUGGUGAUGAAGAUGAUUAGUUUAAUGGUUUAACGGUACACUGUUAAUGGUUUAUUGUUUUGAUAGUUUCCUGGUUAAAAAUUUUGAAAGAAAACAAUCAAAUUUCCGUUUCAAAAGAUAAUUAUAAUGAGUAACGAGAUGAUAUAA